GGAGAGUUGGCCGAGCGGUCGAAGGCGCACGAUUGGAAAUCGUGUUUACGUUCAAAAGGCGUAACGAGGGUUCGAAUCCCUUGCUCUCCG
rnacentral:tRNA from 2 species